rnacentral:rRNA from 1 species
CCUACGGGAGGCAGCAGUAGGGAAUAUUGCUCAAUGGGGGAAACCCUGAAGCAGCAACGCCGCGUGGAGGAUGAAGGUUUUCGGAUUGUAAACCCCUUUUGUUAGAGAAGCUAAUGCUGGUAUCUCACGAAUAAGCACCGGCGAACUCCGUGCCAGCAGCCGCAGGACUACGGAGGGUGCAGGCGUUACUCGGAAUCACUGGGCGUAAAGCGCGCGUAGGCGGGAUAGCAAGGCAGAGGUUAAAACCUAUGGUUUAACCCUAGAACUGCAUUUGAAACUGGUAUUCUAGAGUAUGGGAGAGGUAUGCGGAAUGCGUGGUGUAGGGGUAAAAUCCGUAGAGAGCAAGAAGAACACUCAUUGCGAAGGCGACCUGCUAGAACAGCACUGACGCUGAGGCGCGAAAGCGUGGGUAGCGAACAGGAUUAGAUACCCGAGUAGUC